UUUAUGCUGUUAGGAGCUGUUAAAAUACAUUUUUGAGUUGUUGUACGCUGUGUUUGCGUUCUCAAUUGUAUUAAUUUGUUAUCAGAUCUGUGGUUGGUUCGAUCUGGUGUCUCGAAUUGUGUUCUCUCGAAUUUAGGGCACGAAAGAAUAAAAAGAAAUUGUUUUGGGUUUUUUUGAGUGAUUGUUAGGGUUUCUUUUUAUGGAAUAAUAAUAAUCAAAAUACGGAGAAGUUGUUGUUCGGGGUAGUUGCAGGGGGGAGUGUGAAGGGUAAGCGAAUUUAGAGGAAAAUUUGAAAAUUUCUGUGGGGAGUGCUAGGGAUUGGAUACAUAUGGCAGCAGGUAGACGCGGGGAUUAUCAGGAUAGCAAGUUGAGUGAGCGGGAGUCUGAUUUUGCAGCUUCGAGGCGGAACUUUUUGCGGGGUGAGUAUGAUGGAAUUAGAAAUGGUGAUCGUGACCGUGAGAGCGUUCGGGAUCAUGACCGGGGGUCGAGGGAUAAUAGGGUUAGAGUUAGGCAGAAAGAUAUUAAGGAGAGGGAUGCUAUUAAUGGUGGUUAUCGCUCUGCUUCGAGUAGGAGUGAUUCAGGUGCCAGUGAGGGUGGUCCGAGGCGGUGUGAGUUUUUGGUAAGACCUGUGGACCGUGAGCCGGGUGAAUUGUCGAGCGAAAGUGGUUCUGAUGAGGCUAUUGAUUCUGGAUUAGUUAAAACAAUCGGGGGUUCUAAUUUAGAGAAUUGGACUCAGUCACAUGCUGAAAGUAAGAAGAGGAAGUUUUCACCAAUUGUUUGGGAUAGAGAUGGUAAGGAUACAUUAAAUGGAGGAACUGCCCCAGCUACCACUCGUGUCCCUCGCCCAACAUCGCUGCUCAAGUCCUACCGUCAAUCACCUAAUGGUAUUCCACUUGGGGUUGUCGAAAUUUCUCCACUGAAGGAUCGAAAUCGUCAAUAUUCAGAACCUUUGCCAGACAAGCCUCCUGUGGAGCUUGGCUCACCCAUGGUUGAUGUAACUGAUUCCCCAGUAGAUUUACCUACUUCUCCACUUAAGGAGCAGCAAUGGGGUAAAUUUCAUGAAUCGGAACAUUUAGAUGAUCAAGUUUACUCUUCUGCACGGAAUAUCUCAGCCUCGAGAUGGGCAGAUGAUGCCAAUUCCCCAGCUGAUGAAGGUGAAAUAUAUGAUGAAGAAAUGCCUAGGAGGAAGAAGGAAACACGUCUUUCUAAGUCAGACGAGUUGAGGAUACGGAGUAAAUCAUUAACUCCCGAACCCGGGGAACUUAAUAGAGAAGCACAUGGAGGAACUAGGGCGAGAUCAGCGGAAACUGACGAAGAAAGAUACUGUGUUAGAUCUUCUGGCAGAGAUAAUUACCCGGCCAGUGAUUCUGACAAGAAUGAUUACAUGGAGAUAGAUGACAAUCAUGAUAAGAAUGGCACUAAUUUCAGCCAAUCAGAUACAGAUUCUGGGGAUGAACAUGAUUCUCAUGGUACCCCAGAGCCUGUGGUCCCACCAAAAAGAACAGUAAACAUGCUUGAGGAGUGUAGAAGUGUUAAUGUUUUUGAGAGAUUGAACAAGAUUGACGAAGGAACUUAUGGGGUUGUUUAUAGAGCCAAAGAUAGGGACACAGGAGCUAUUGUUGCAUUGAAGAAGGUCAAGAUGGAAAAAGAAAGAGAAGGUUUUCCUUUGACUGCUUUGCGGGAAAUAAACAUCCUCCUUUCUUUUCAUCACCCAUCUAUUGUGGAUGUUAAGGAAGUUGUGGUUGGGAGCAAUCUUGAUAGUAUCUUUAUGGUGAUGGAAUACAUGGACCAUGAUCUUAAGGGGUUGAUGGAGACAAUGAAGCGGCCAUAUAGUCAGAGUGAAGUUAAAUGCCUAAUGCUUCAGCUAUUGGAGGGUGUCAGGUAUCUUCAUGACAACUGGGUGCUUCACAGAGAUUUGAAGACAUCAAAUUUGCUUUUAAAUAAUAGUGGUGAGUUAAAGAUCUGUGACUUUGGGUUGGCUCGUCAAUAUGGGAGCCCAUUGAAGCCAUAUACUCAUUUGGUGGUGACUUUGUGGUAUAGGGCGCCAGAGCUGUUGUUGGGAGCGAAGCAAUAUUCUACAGCUAUUGACAUGUGGUCGUUGGGCUGUAUAAUGGCUGAACUGUUAUCGAAGGAACCAUUGUUUAAUGGGAAAACAGAAUUUGAUCAGCUUGACAAGAUUUUCAGAACCCUUGGUACGCCAAAUGAGACUAUCUGGCCUGGGUUUUCCAAACUUCCGGGAGUUAAGGUGAACUUUGUCAAGCACCAGUAUAACCUAUUACGUAAGAAAUUUCCUGCUACAUCUUUCACUGGAUCACCAGUUCUAUCUGAUGCUGGAUUUGACUUGUUGAACAAACUUCUGACUUAUGACCCAGAGAAGCGAAUAACAGCUGAAGAUGCUCUUAAGCAUGAGUGGUUCCGUGAAGUUCCACUUCCAAAGUCUAAAGAGUUCAUGCCUACUUUUCCAGCUCAACAUGAGCAUGACAGGCGUUCGCGGAGGAUGAGGAAGAGUCCAGAUCCUCUAGAGGAGCAGCGUCGGAAGGAGUUGCAGCAAGGGGAAUUAGGGACUGGUGGCUUGUUCGGCUGUGAGUAAGAUUGUAACUGGAGGCCUUUGAUUUCUGUAACAGCUUUUAAUGAUUCUCUCAAAAUGACAUGAUGGGUCUAUUGAGAUAUGUAGCAGGUUGAUGACGGUUCUCCAGCCUUGGCCACCAUAUAGAAAUGCAUUCCUCACACUGCUUGCAUUGCAAGGUGUGGCAAAUGGCCUCCCUUUUAGGAAAAGUUUCACUCGAAACUCAUCGUAUUCUGUUUGCAAGAGACAGUUGGUGUGGUUUAAGGUGGAGGGGGGACGUUCUUAGCUUUUGAUUGACAAAGAAUCUGACCAGAACUAUUUGACAUGGAAGGUUUUCUCCUGAUUGUUGUGCUGUAAUAAUGCUCACCAGUUUGUGGAGGCUAGUGUUUUAUGAUCUAGAUGCUGGUUAGUAGCGAACAUCCUCAUACAUGAUCUCUUCAUGUAAAUUUUCCUAGCUGUCUUGUUGGUCCUUUUGAAGCUUCUUGUGUUGUCUAUAGAAGAGACGUGUGAAGCGUGCUGACCCCUUAAAUAGGCAUGGGAAGCACGGAAGAUCAGCUGUAAGCUUUGUGACUCCAAUCCCUUCUUAUUGUUUUCCCCUUCGGUUGGCAUUUAUGGUAUGGUAAAUUGUAGGUUUACUAGCCCCAGUUCUUUCAUGACAUUUGGAUGCAAAUGUCACUACAGUAUGAAAGCAAGCAGGUUGAGGAGGUUGUACGGAAUGGAAUACAUGGCAUUUUGCAAUUAUGUGUUCCCUUCAAGCAAAAUAGAGGUCUCAACAUGUUUAUCCUCAAUGCAGAAAAUCUGGCUUACCGGAUGCCGGUAUCUAUUUGAACAAAUUGUAUUUGUUAGAAGAGAAAUUUCUUCUCUUAAACCGUUUAGUUUAGAGAACGAAAUGCAAAUUGUUUAUGCGAGCCUGUAUGUAGGCUCCACAUAUUUAUAGGAGUAUGUGUUACUGAGCGGAAAUAGAACUAAAAUCUGUUUCUUGGUGAGUGAAUAGGAUUGCAGGCUAUCCAUUAUUA